AUAGCUUUUAAGGGCUUAUUAAAAAAUGUAGGAGGAGUGUAAGAGGCCAUAGGUUUUUGUUUAUUAUAGAAAAAUUAUUGAAAUUAUUUAAAUUAAAAUCUUAUAAUAUUUAUAGGAGUAAGUAAAAUUAAACAAUGAUAAAUUUGAUUUAGUUAAAUUUUUGUUAGAUAAAAUAAGUGCCAGUAAUCACGGUUAUACUUAUUAAUGUUCAUUAAUGUAUAAGAGUUUAAAUUAAAAAUAGAAUUUCUUGUUAGUGUCGGGUUUAAAAGAGAGUGUCAGGAAGGUAAAAAACUUAUCAAAGUAGAUUAGAAACCUAUGUAGAAAAUAUAAAUAGAUAAAUUAAUUAAGAAAUAUAAAUAAUUAGACGGUUUAGCUACAUACAGAGGUGCUUGUUUAGUAAUAUGAUAGUCCGCAUUAAAAUUCUGCCCGAUAAUAAAGUGUAUGUCCGUAAAGUAUAAAAUAAUUUUUAUACUUAUCAGGUCUCCAUGCUAUUGGGGAAGUUAAUAUGAGCAGCAAUAUUGUUUUUGGUUUUUGUUUGAAAAGGCAAGAUGGAAAUUGGAUUUGUUAGUAAAGAAAUGUUAGUAACUUUUUUUGAAAUCAUGUAGUUGGAGUACUCACCGCCCGCCAAUAAGAUUGUAAAUUUUUAUAAAGCGUAACAAGGUAAGCUUUCUAGAAGGAGAGCUUGGGU
rnacentral:rRNA from 1 species